rnacentral:lncRNA from 1 species
CUCAGUUGCUUUUGCUAAUGAGACAAACCGCUCUGUUCCAUAAAUUACAGCAGGGUGGAGAAUGAAGCAGAAAUUACUGUGUUUUUCUCCUUAUCUGCAGAAAAGGUCACUGAAGGAGAGAAGUUCUGCAUGUGAUACAGUGAUUGAACCUACAGACACCACGGAUCAGGAAAAGUGCCCAUAGGAAGGCAGAGCAUGGGGUGGAAUCAGACAGCUGUGUGUGGUAUGGACAGAGGUAAGCUGAGCAGGGAGAGCCACAGGAAAGUGUCCACAGCCUGAGAGGGGCUGAAACUGGUAAGACUGCUCUGAAAAUAUACCCAUGGAACUGGCCAAGGACUCCUCACAGAGUGUUCCAACAUACAUAUUUUUAACUUUUUAUUUAUUUAUUUUUGGUGGCAAAGAGGAAAGUUCAAGGAACACAGUGAUAAAAGAAUGUGUGUGAUUGGAUGUCUUGAGAGAACACAUCUUCACCAAUGUAACCAUACUUUCUGUGCAACAACUUGGACUUCCCCAGAAAUGCCCCCAGGGAGAACUCAGGAGACACAGAAGAAAAGAUGAAGAAUGCAGC